rnacentral:rRNA from 1 species
GACGAACGCUGGCGGCGUGCUUAACACAUGCAAGUCGAACGAAGUGGCGAACGGGUGAGUAACGCGUAAUCAACCUGCCCUUCAGUGGGGGACAACCGUUGGAAACGACUGCUCAUACCGCAUACUGAAGGAGGGGAUUGCGUCUGAUGAGCUAGUUGGAGGGGUAACGGCCCACCAGGGCGAUGAACAGUAGCCGGGCUGAUGAGAUGACCGGCCACCUUGGGACUGAGACAAGGCCCAGACUCCUACGGGAGGAGGCAGUGGGGAAUCUUCCGCAAUGGACGAAAGUCUGACGGAGCAACGCCGCGUGAGUGAUGACGGCCUUCGGGUUGUAAAGCUCUGUUAAUCGGGACGCGGUACCGGAAUAGAAAGCCACGGCUAACUACGUGCCAGCCGCCGCGGUAAUAC